GAUGAACGCUGGCGGCGUGCCUAAUACAUGCAAGUCGAGCGAACGGACGAGAAGCUUGCUUCUCUGAUGUUAGCGGCGGACGGGUGAGUAACACGUGGAUAACCUACCUAUAAGACUGGGAUAACUUCGGGAAACCGGAGCUAAUACCGGAUAAUAUUUUGAACCGCAUGGUUCAAAAGUGAAAGACGGUCUUGCUGUCACUUAUAGAUGGAUCCGCGCUGCAUUAGCUAGUUGGUAAGGUAACGGCUUACCAAGGCAACGAUGCAUAGCCGACCUGAGAGGGUGAUCGGCCACACUGGAACUGAGACACGGUCCAGACUCCUACGGGAGGCCGCAGUAGGGAAUCUUCCGCAAUGGGCGAAAGCCUGACGGAGCAACGCCGCGUGAGUGAUGCAGGUCUUCGGAUCGUAAAACUCUGUUAUUAGGGAAGAACAUAUGUGUAAGUAACUGUUCACAUCUUGACGGUACCUAAUCAGAAAGCCACGGCUAACUACGUG
rnacentral:rRNA from 1 species